GACGAACGCUGGCGGCGUGCUUAACACAUGCAAGUCGAACGGUGAAGCACCUUCCUUUUGGUGGGUGUGGAUGAGUGGCGAACGGGUGAGUAACACGUGAGUAACCUGCCCCCUUCUUCUGGAUAACCGCAUGAAAGUGUGGCUAAUACGGGAUAUUCUGGGUCUGUCGCAUGGCGGGCCUGGGAAAGAUAUUGUUUCGGUGGGGGAUGGGCUCGCGGUCUAUCAGCUUGUUGGUGGGGUGAUGGCCUACCAAGGCGGUGACGGGUAGCCGGCCUGGGAGGGUGGACGGUAACACGGGGAAUGAGACACGGCCCAGACUCCUACGGGAGGCAGCAGUGGGGAAUAUGGCACAAUGGGCGCAAGCCUGAUGCAGCGACGCCGCGUGAGGGAUGGAGGCCUGCGGGUUGUAAACCUCUUUCGCCAGUGAAGCAGGCCUGUCCCUUUUGUGGGUGGGUUGACGGUAGCUGGAUAAGAAGCGCCGGCUAACUACGUG
rnacentral:rRNA from 1 species